rnacentral:lncRNA from 1 species
AUCUUACCUCCUAAAUUGACUAUCCUAUGGAUGAUUAAUCAAUUCUACCAAUAUCCAACCAAUGUCCUAUAAAAAUUAAUUUUCAUCCAUUCUACAUAGCCUCGCUCUUAACUAUGUAACGUCUUUGUAAACAUGGAACUGGUAAAAAAAACUACUUUAACAAACCUUUAUAAAGUUUCUAUCUCUUUGGCUCACUAGAUUGAUCAAUUCUAACAUUCUUCAUAGGUGGUUCCACUAAUUCUGGUUCU